CCUUUUCAAACCACUCGAUGUAUUCUUCCUCCUUUGGAAACAGCAUAAACAUGUCUGCAAAGAAACGAGACAACCAAUAGGUUGGAUGUACAGGCCCGAUUAAACAUGCCUUUCCUCCCAUCUUUAGAACCCUGUAUGCUUCUUUGAUGCCCCGUUGCGGUUCGGGCCAACACUCAAUGCUGCAAUCAAAUAAGGUCAGUGUCAUUUGGAACGAAUGGAAUUGGAAAUAUAAAGGAAUUAGUAUUCAUCGUUUUUUUGUUGGCAAAAAAUAGAAUGAAAUUGAAUCUCAUUUUUUGUUGUUGUAAAUUUACGAAAGAGAAUGGAAUGUGAGUUAUGUUAAAAGAAAAUUUUUGUUUAUAUUUGAUGGGUUUACGAUGAAAAUUUGGUCUUUUAAUACAAAUGUGUAAAUUACAUUUUUGGUCCUUGAAUAGAGUUGAGUCUUGUCAUUUUGGUCCUUAAUUAUAGUUGAGUUUUGCAAUUUUGGUUAUUAAAAGUUCUCUUUUGUAAUUACGGUGAUUAUUUGAGGUGUGGUCUUUUCAAGUAAAAUGACUAUAUUUUUGCAGCAAAUUUUGCAAAAUUGGCUUAUAAUGGGACCAAUAAUAGUCAUUUUCCUUGGAUCAGGAACCAACAACAUUACAAGAAUCUUAAAUAAGGACCAAAAUUGCAAAGAGUACUUUUGGAACCACAAACAUCUAUAUGCAUGGACUAAAAUCGUAAUUCACUCUAAAAAAUGACAAAUGGAUAUCAAUUCUUACCAUACACUUUUAGACCAUCUCCAACCCAUCUCCAUUUUUUCCCAUAAAUUGAGUAAAAAAUGGAAUAAAAUAGUGUUUCAUCUCCAACCCUAUUACAUUUUUUACUCCCAAAAAAUAUAUUUCUAGAAUAUUCUAUUUUUAUAACUUAUAUAUAUUAUCACAUACACCCCUCUACUAAUUAAACUCUAUAUUUAUGAUUAAUUAAUACAAAUUAGUAUAUAACAUGAUAUUAUAAAUAUUAAAUAUUGCAUUUAAAUUAUAAUUGGUAGAUAAAAUAAACUAGAAAUAUAUAAAAUAAAAAUGAGAGGGACUAAAAUUAGCAACCAAACUUCAUCUUUAUUUUUAGAGAUAUGAAUAGUAUUCCCCCAUAUAUGGGGGAAUAUUAUUGCUAUCUCUAAAAAUAAAGAUGAAGUNUAUAUAUAUAUAUAUAUAUAUAUAUAUAUAUAUAUCAUGAAUUAUGAGAAAAAUAUACCUUCCGGCUGAUAUAUAUCUAUCUGCAUAAUCUGUUUGGAAAGGAAGAUCCUCAGCAUCUCCCUCAAUGAUCUUGCAUUCCUUCAAUGGCUCCUUUUCCUUUGCUUUAGCAAGCUGAUGUGGCGAUUGAUCCAAAAUAGUAAUAUUUUUAGCAUCAACAUGUUUCACAAUACCCAAAGUUGAGAACCCGGUCCCACCACCAACAUCCACUACUAUCAUAUCACGGCUAUUGAGAUCAGCAGGUUCCAAGGCUUCGUCUCUCAUGUCUUCAGUCCAAUGACCCGGAUUUAUAACAUGAUCGUACACAAUUGACAUAAACCUGUAGAACCAAAAUGCCUCUUUUUUGUGUUGCAUGAACCUACGCUGUGAAGCUGGCCUUGGUACAGACAUACUGCACUUAGGUACAAAUAGGGUCUUACUUAUACGUCUAAAAUUCGAAUUCUCAAUGCCCAAAUUCAUUUUGAGGAAAGAUUUUCCCCCAUGCAAAUCCGACCCGUUAAACCCUAACCCGUUUGGUGACACUCUUCCUCUUAUAAUUGCAAGAUUCUCAACCCCAUACAGCAUUAAAGAAGCCAUUAUUGCUCAAGAAACAAAAAAACAGAUACAGAAAACUUGUAAUUUUAAAGCUCAAACUCACAAAUUUCAAGACUACGCAAAAACUUGUAAAUGAGAGUUCAUAUUCACAAAUUUGACGAAUUUCACAAUAACCCAAGUGGAAAAACUAUCAGGUGGGAAAUUGAUUAAAGUUUAUAACCCUGAUCUGAUAAGGUUUCGAUUCAAAUCUGCUAGAAGCAGAAUGGAGAUAUUAGUAUUGGUGACAAUUUGAAGAAAUUCAAGAAAUGGAACUUAAUAGAUGAGUUAAAUCACGAUUGUGGAUUGAUGAUAAUGAUCGGAAAUAAUUGAUACAUGACAAAACAGAAAAUCAGAAGUCGUGGCAAGGAGGGUGGUUAGUGGAAGUAGCAGGUGUUGGAGACGAACACGUGUACACAGCCGCAGAGCUGGUGAUAGGCACAUAUCUAUUAGCUAGAUUACAGAAAUGAUGUGGGGGCGACUGAAAUUCACUAGAAAAAAAAAAUCGUAUAUAGAUAUAAAUGUUUUCUUCGCUGUUUCUAAAUAAAUAAAACGAUGUUAUUCAGUCUGAUUUAAUCGACUUUUAACAAUUUUAAAUUAACCACAACCAAAUUGAAUAAGUUUGGGUUUAAUUGGCUUUUGGUUAUUUUAUGUCAGAUGUUUAAUUCAUUCACAAACUAGGAAGCCUAACAAACGACAUGUCUUGAAUCUUGAAGUUUAAACUGAAAACCAAAACCAGGCAUGGAAUUAUAUCAUAUCAUAGCAUACAAAACCAAAAUGGGAAAAUGCAACUCAACCUAAAACAAACCAAACCAAACCAAACCAAACCAAACCAUCUCUGAGGACUCAAAUUGGUUGACCUUUUGGGACAAUUUGAUCCUUGAGCCACAUGUACACAGGGACCAGGACAUAGUAGAUUCCAGCCAUCGCACCCACAAGAAACCGGGCUAGGAACACCAAUGGGUUCACUGGCUCCCUCACGUCCUCCACUUUUGGACCCAACUGCCACAUAUAACCCAACAAAAAAGUUAAAUUCAAGAAAUACUAAUGUACGUAUGUUUGAUUUGUUUAUUAUUAUUUACAUCAUUCUACUUUCAAUUCUUCUUAUUACAACAUUGUUCAUUGAAAUAUCUACUUGAUAAUAGCAUUUACCUGUAAUGGUGAAUCUCCUGAUGCGGGUUUAACUCCGGUAACAGAGCAGCCCAUGAUAAGACCAUGGCGGCGGACCCCACGGUACCACUUUGGGCCAAUCCUCUUGAUUUUAACAUCUUUGAAUCCAGCCUUUUCAAACCACUCAAUGUACUCUUCCUCCUUUGGAAACAGCAUCCACAUGUCUGCAAAGAAACGCGACAACCAAUAGGUUGGAUACACAGGCCCAAUUAAACAUGCCUUUCCUCCUAUCUUUAGAACCCUGUAUGCUUCUUUGAUGCCUCGUUGUGGGUCCGGCCAGUACUCAAUG
rnacentral:lncRNA from 1 species